AAGCUCGUAGUUGAAUUUCGGGAUCAGACUGUCGGUCGUGCCUCGGUACGCACUGGCAUUAUUGGUUUCUACCUUCUGAAGAACCGCGAUGUCAUUAAUUUGGUGUCGCGGGGAAUCAGGACUGUUACUUUGAAAAAAUUAGAGUGUUUAAAGCAGGCGCACGCUUGAAUACAUUAGCAUGGAAUAAUGAAAUAGGACGUUUGAUUCUAUUUUGUUGGCUUCUAGGAUCGACGUAAUGAUUAAUAGGGAUAGUUGGG
rnacentral:rRNA from 1 species